rnacentral:rRNA from 1 species
UACAGAGGUGGCAAGCGUUGUUCGGAAUUACUGGGCGUAAAGCGCGCGUAGGCGGUUUGAUAAGUCGGAUGUGAAAGCCCCGGGCUUAACCUGGGAAUUGCAUUCGAUACUGUCAGGCUCGAGUCUAGGAGAGGGAAGCGGAAUUCCGGGUGUAGCGGUGAAAUGCGUAGAUAUCCGGAGGAACAUCAGUGGCGAAGGCGGCUUCCUGGCCUAAGACUGACGCUGAGGUGCGAAAGCGUGGGGAGCAAACAGG